GACCACCCUCACGGCAGAGAAUUAUCAGGCCUGAAAUGUAGAUAAUGCCAAGGUUGAGAAACUCUGUUUUAAGUAAUUUAACAAAUAUUAACUCAUUUAACCAUCACGGCCACCCUUGAGACAGAUAAGGGGCUUGCCCAAUGUAAUCUAUCUAAUGGGGAGGCCAGGCCAAAGGGAGACAAAUGUAAGCAUUACAGAGAGGAGCUAUUACAUUAAUACUAGCCUAAGUAAAAUUCAAGGUAAGAUUUUUAUAAGGAGGAUUUUUUUUUUUUUUCUUUAAGGAAUGGUAUAAUUCCCAGUGGAAAUAUUUUUGUUGUGAAACUUUGGACACUAAAUAAUAUAACUCUGAAAUAUAUAAAGCGAUUGUUGGACAUGUAGGAAGUAAUUGAAAUAUAAUAGUAGGUUUUUUUGUAAACAGCCUUAUUGAAGUAAAGUUGAUAUACAAUAAAUUGUACAAAUUUUAAUUUAAUAAUAUAUAUAUAAUUUCAUAAAUUUGAUAUAUAUCCCUGGCCUUGCUCGGUGGGUUAUGGAUCUGGCAUUGCCAAGAGCUGUGGUUUGGUCAGACGCAGCUCGGAUCCUGCGUUGCUAUGUCUGUGGUGUUGCUGCAAAAAAGGUAAUGAACAUGUCUAUCACUCCAAGCUUUCUCCUUCCUUUAUAGUGUAUAAUUCUUCCUUCCACUCCCUUGCUGGUCCUUCCUCCAAUCCUAAUCAACCUUUGAUCUGCCUUCUGUCACUGUAGAUUAGUUUGCAUCUUCUGCAGUUUUGUGUCAGUGAGCUCAUACCAUAUAUAUCUUUGUGGGGUAUUUUUUCUUUGGCUUGGGAUGUUAAUUUUGUGGCUCACCCAUGCUGUUGCAUGUAUCAGCAGUUCAUCCCUUUUUAUUGAUAGAUGGUGUUCCAUUGUAUGGCUAUGCUUCGAUGUGUUUAUCCCAUUCACCUUUUGAUGGACACUUGGUUGUUUGCAGUUUUGGGCUAUUACAAAUAAAGACACUAUAAACAUUCCUGAACAAGUCUUUGUAUGGACAGAUGCUUUUGUUUUUCUUGGGUGAAUACCUAGGAAUUUGGUUCAUGUGGUUAAGUGUAUAUUUAAUAGUUCAAGAAACUGCCAAACUGUUUUUCAAAGGUAUUGUCCCAUUUUCCAUUCCCACGAGCUGUGUCAGAGGGUACCAGUUGUUCCACAUCCUCUCCGGUAUUUGUUAUGGUGAGUCUUUAUCAUUUUGACAUUCUAGUAGAUGUAUGGUUAUCCUAAUAUGUUUGGGCUGCUAUGAUAAAAUACUAUAGACCUGGUAGCCUAUAAACAAAAGAAAUUUCUCACAAUUGUGGAGCCUGGAGAGUCUAAGAUCAAGUCUUCUGCAAGGUUGGGUUCCAGUGAGGACUUGUUACCGGGUUCAUAGAUGGCUGUAUUUCCACCGUAAUUUCAUGUGGUAUAAGAGGCAAGGCAGUUCUUUGGGAUCUCUUUUAAAAGAGCACUUUUCCCAUUCAUGGGGGCUCUACCGUCAUGACCUAAGCACCCCCCAAGGGCCCUACCUUCUAAUACCAUCACCUGGGGGUUAGGAUUUCAACACCUGGAUAUUGAGGGGACAUAAACAUUCGGACAUAACAAUAGUGGUAUCUCAUAUUCUCUUAUGUAAAUGACUAAUGGUGUUGAAUACCUUUUCCUGUGCUUAUUUAUCAUCUAUAUAUCUGCAAUUGAACUGUACUUUCAUUUAAAAAGAGAAAUCUUUGCUUAGAGAAAGGCAGAAAGGUCUUAUUCUGUGUUUUCCUCUAGAAGUUUUAGAGUUCUAGAUCUGUAAAUUUUAUGAUCUGUUUUAAGUUCAUUUUUAUAUAUAGUAUGAAAUCUCCUGUCCUCCUUCUAUUCUGUUGUGGUCAACGAAACCCUUUCAGUCAGGGUACCACAGCAGCUGCUGCUCACGUCCAGUUCCCACUGGUUGACUGGGAGCCUUCUUUUAUCUCCCCUAAACAACUUGACCUAGUUCAUGUCAGCCAGAAUAAACAGUUUAUGUGAUGAUCAGUUUAUUUGGCUAAAUCACUAGGGCAGGGUGACGUGAAAGAAAGUUGUAUACUUGCUAGGGACUGGAUGAUAUUAAAAGCAAAACCAAACACAUGAUCCUCCCCAAACUCUAGAAGUGCUAUACACUCUGUCCUAUCCUGCACUUCUUAAAUCAUGGAACAAGUAAGGAUUUUUUUUUUUUUUUUUUUUUUAGUUCUGUGGCAGAUGUAAUGGGUCCAUAGUGUCAUCCUGUCAUAAUUGACUCUCCUUGUUUAGGAAAUGAGGGGCAAGUGUUGUUGUUGUUGUUUUAAAUUUAUUUUCUAAUAAAUUUCCAGUCUUCAAAGAGAUUUUUUGGUUUCUUUCUUUUUUUUUUUUUUUUACAGCCACACCCAUGGCAUAUGGAAGUUCCCAGGCUAGGGCUCGAAUUGGAGCUGCAGCUGGGGCCUACACAGCAAUGCAGGAUCCAGGCUGCAUCUGUGAGCUGUGCUGCAGCUUGCUACAAUGCUGGAUCCUUAACUGACUGAGCAAGGCCAGGGAUCAAACCUGCAACCUCACAGAUGCUAUGUUGAGUUCUUAACCUACUGAACCACACUGGAAGCUCCUUCAAAGAGGUGUUGGGCAAGCAAUUUUGAGGUGCUGUUUUUCUUAUCUUUAAGUGUAGAACAUCUUUUGGGGAAGAGGCAUGCAGGCAUUGCUGUGCCCAGAGAACAAUAGGCAGUAAUCCUAAUCUGAUAAUUUCAUUUCCUUCUCUGAGACAAGAAAUAUUAUGAAAUGAUGAAGGGUGUUCAUAUUUUUCUGAAGGCCUCCCAAAGUACUGCUUUCCUUAAGUCAGUCUUGGGACAGUGAUUAAAUUGGAUUUGAUUCGAUCAAAUCUAUCCAGUUUUCUUGACUCUUUACUCAUCAAUUAGCUUUUCAUUUUCUCAGUAUUUCCUUUUUCAGAAUAGGCUCUUGCCCUCAUCUUUGCAAAACCAAAGAGUGUUUUUUUCAAAACAAUCAGUGUGUUAAAAGUGAAGUAAUCCUCUAUUUCUGGAGAAAUAGAAAAAGUUCUUAGUUUUAAAAUGGCAAAUUUUCUUACUCCCAGUCCUUAGGGUUUCCAAAAAAAUUGAAGUUUAAUUUUAUUGAGGACACUGUUAUAAUGGGUAAAGCAUGAUACAUUUGAGUUAAAAAAUUAAAAAAGCAAAAUAUGGUUCUAAUUUUUUAAAAGUAUAUACAAACACAAAGAUUAUAAAACAGGGAAAUUCCAUUACAGACUGUUAAAGCUGUGUUUUGGUUUACAAAGGUUUAUUUUGGUUUACAAAGCUAUGUUUUAUGUUAAAUUUACUUUCUGAAUUGUCUAGUUGGAAGAAACUGUUAGAAAGAUGAUUAUUUUUGUCUUUAUCAAAAGCACUCUUGAAAUUAGACCUCAGUUUUUUUUGGUGGGGGGGGUGGGACACGCAGGGACCCUUGAUGUCGAAAUUUCCAAUUUUAAAAGUCUUAAGGCUAGCCUACCUGGGUAUUAGUCAGUUCUCAGUUCUGCAACUAAUUAGUUGUGUGACUUUGGACAAGUAUGUAACUUUUCUGUGGCUCAGUUUCUUCAUCUGUAAAAUAGGGGUAAUUCUAAUGACUAGAAGGUAACAGGUUGACAGAAUAUUCUGAUGGCUUUGAUAAGGGGUGUGUGUGUGUGUGUGUGUGUGUGUGUGUGAGUGAGAAAGAGAGAGAGGGAGAGAGGGAGGGCGAAUACUAGCAAGGGAAAUUGAAAAGGGUCUGCCUUCAGGGUAGGAAGGAACCAGGAGAGUGUGGUCUUUAGAAGCCAAAGUAGUUUGUAAUCAAUUGAAUUAAAUGCUACUGUCAAGUAUAUUAAGUCAAAUUUAUAGCUACUGUUGGAUUUAGCCAUUCAGCAGUGAUUGGUGACUUUGAGGAGAGCAAUUUUGGUGGAGGGGUGUGGACAAAAGCCUGAUUGGAAUGGUUUCAAGAGAGAAUGGAAGGAGAGAAAAAGAGCAGCAAAUAUGGACAUUAAGGAAAACUUUAUGCACUAAAAAAGAUUAGCAGUAUGUAAUGCCUUUGGAAUAACACGAGACACUUAUUGAGCCCUAACUGUGUGACAGAUGCUGUUUUCGGUACUUGUAUUAACUUUUUUUUUUUUUUUGUCUUUUUUUUUUUUAUGGCCGCACCCGUGGCAUAUGUAGGUUCCCAGGCUGGGGGUCUCAUAGGAGCUGUAGCUGCCGGCCUACACCAGAGCCACAGCAAUGCCAGAUCCGAACCUUGUCUGCGACCUACACCAUAGCUCACGGCAACGCUGGAUCCCCAACCCACUGGGCGAGGCCAGGGAUGGAACCUGCAACCUCAUGGUCCUAGUCGGAUUCAUUUCUGCUGAGCCACAACUGGAACUCCAUACUUGUAUUAACUUUUUAAUGAGGAAUAAGAAAUAUAGUUGGUCCUUGCUGUGCAUGAUAGUGCAAGACCACACACACUAAAACCAUCUAAAGCGAUCUUGCAAAUCAGUGGGAAAAAUUACAGUGUUCUGUGACCUGUAAAAUUUGUUGUCAAAACAUUCAACAUUUUAAGUAGGUUGGUUAUUAAUGUGUUGGGAGGUGAAAAAAAUAAGUGAAACUCAAAUUUAUAGCACAUGCGAUUUAAAACAUUAGAAAUAUUAAAAAUCGAAAAAGUGUUUUGUUCAGCUGCAACACCAAGAUUAGUUUGAAGAGUGCUUGCCUUUGUGGAUCAGCUUCCAGCAUUUUAGCCUUUCCUCUUUAGUGUUGUGAAAUAUUUUCCAGAGUUCAUUUAAUGUGAAGUCUUGCCGGAUGUCACUCCCUCUGGGACAUCUCAUCUUUUUCUUUGCAACCACUUCCUCAGUGAUGUUUGUUAAUCCGCCUUCACCAAAUCCCUCAGGAUGCAUCUCUGUCCUUCUGUGGGGCUGGGUCUGAGUGUGCUCUGCUUUCUAGUCUAAAAUGUGCCAGAGU
rnacentral:lncRNA from 1 species